CACUGUCAGAGUCACAACAAAGGUUUUUACCAAGAAAACCGCAAGAAAAUAUCAAAAUUCGGAAAAGGCCCUAUUCUACAUAAUUACCAAAACCAUGAUUUUACUAAUGUAAUUUGUUCGUGUAUACAUUGUUCUGUUAAUAAUAUUAUUUUAAAUUGUUACUAAAAUUAAAGUUUUGACGAAGAACAUUGCAUCAAAAGUAUCAAGAUUGAUGUCGGCACAACUAUUCGUAUUAGUGACGGAUAGUCAACUCGACAUAUUAACAACAUAGAUGUUAUACUGAGAGUGCAAAUUCAUAGAGAACGGUGUACCAUAGUAUAACUAUGUAUGCCCACUCUCUGUCAAACCUUUGAUCUUUUCGAUUUCGAUCACGUGCUAUUCCGUCAUUACUUUAAUGUGUAAAAUCUUUUUACACUGUCACACUACCACAUAUACAACUACCAUAUAUACACACUACACAUAUACAACAUUCGUCUCAUUGGUCGGGAGGAAUCUCGGGCACCUCUAUUGGCUCACCGUUUGAGUGCUAGAGACGGAUCCGCGGAAUGAUCAGAGAGUCCUGUGUACAGUCCUGUACGAGCCACGAGACCGUACGGACAACGUUUCGUAGGCUGCUGGCAGAGAACGAUCCAUUGGUCAUUUUGAUUGAGAUUCCUUAACGUACGCAAGUUUUACUAUGUCAGAUAUCUGAACCAUGUUGG